rnacentral:snRNA from 1 species
AGCUUUGCACAGUGGCAGUAUCGUAGCCAAUGAGGUUUAUCCGAGGCGCGAUUAUUGCUAAUUGAAAAAUUAAAACAUUUUUAAGUACUCUUCUUUUAAAAUUUUUUUCUAUUUCUUGAUA